ensembl:lncRNA
GGUCCCAGUCUCGAACUGGUGUCACUGGGAGAGCCCCAGUCCCAAACUGGGAGGGUCUGAGGUUCAAACUGGGAGCACUGGGAGGGUCCCAGUCCCAAACUGGGAGGGUCCAAGGCUCAAACUGGGAGCACUGGGAGGGUCCCAGUCCCAAACUGGGAGCACUGGGAAGGUCUCAGUCCCAAACUGGGAGCGUCCCAGUCCCAAACUGGGAGCACUGGAGGGUCCCAAUCCCAGACUGGGAGCACUGGGAGGGUCCCAGUCCCAGACUGGUGUCACUGGGGUGUCACUGGGAGGGUCCCAGUCUCAAACUGGGAGGGUGCCAGGUUCAAACUGGGAGCACUGGGAGGGUUCCAGUCCCAAACUGGGAGGGUCCAAGGUUCAAACUGGGAGAGUCCCAGUCCCAGACUGGUGUCACAGGGGUGUCACUGGUGUCACUGGUCCGUUACUGGUGUCACUGGUGCUGUCCCUGGCUCUGUCCAUGGCUCUGUUACUGGUGUUACUGGUGUCACUGGUGUGUCACUGGUGUUACUGGUGUUACUGGUGUCACUGGUCCGUUACUGGUGUCACUGGUGCUGUCCCUGUCCCUAUCCCUGUCCCUGGUGUCAACUGGUGUCACUGGUGUCACUGGUCCGUUACUGGUGUCACUGGUGCUGUCCCUGCUGUCCCUGUCCCUGGUGUCACUGGUGCCGUUACUGGUGUCACUGAUGUCACUGAUGUUACUGGUGUUACUGGUGUUACUGGUGUUACUGGUGUCCCUGUCCCUGGCUGUGUCACUGGUGUCACUGGUGUCACUGGUGCCGUUACUGGUGUUACUGGUGUCACUGGUGUCACUGGUGCUGUCCCUGCU